rnacentral:rRNA from 1 species
CCUACGGGGGGCAGCAGUGGGGAAUAUUGCACAAUGGGGGAGACCCUGAUGCAGCGAAGCAGCGUGAGUGAAGAAGUACUUCGGUAUGUAAAGCUUUAUUAGUAGGGAAGAAAAUGACGGUACCUGAGUAUGAUGCCACGGCUAACAACGUGCCAGCAGCCGCGGUAAUACGGAGGGUGCAAGCGUUAUCCGGAUUUACUGGGUGUAAAGGGAGCGUAGAGGGCAGUGAAAGUCUGGAGUGAAAGGCGGGGGCUCAACCGCCGGACUGCUAUGGAAACUGUACGGCUUGAGUACAGGAGAGGUAGGUGGAAUUCCUAGUGUAGCGGUGAAAUGCGUAGAUAUUACGAAGAACACCAAUGGCGAAGGCAGCUUACUAGACUGUAACUGACGUUGAUGCUCGAAAGCGUGGGUAGCAAACAGGAUUAGAUACCCCAGUAGUC